rnacentral:rRNA from 1 species
AGCAGCCGCGGUAAUUCCAGCUCCAAUAGCGUAUAUUAAAGUUGUUGCAGUUAAAAGCUCGUAGUUGAAUUUCGGGGUCAGUAAGUUGGUCGUGCCACUGGUAUGUACUGGCUUUACUGAUUCCUCCUUCUUGUAGAACCGUAAUGCCAUUAAGUUGGUGUUGCGGGAAAACAGGACUGUUACUUUGAAAAAAUUAGAGUGUUUAAAGCAAGCUAACGCUUGAAUACAUUAGCAUGGAAUAAUGAAAUAGGACGAACGAUCCUAUUUUGUUGGUUUCUAGGAUUGACGUAAUGAUUAAUAGGGAUAGUUGGGGGCAUUAGUAUUCAAUUGUCAGAGGUGAAAUUCUUGGAUUUAUUGAAGACUAACUACUGCGAAAGCAUUUGCCAAGGAUGUUUUCAUUAAUCAAGAACGAAAGUUAGGGGAUCGAAGACGAUCAGAUACCGUCGUAGUCUUAACCAUAAACUAUGCCGACUAGGGAUCGGAUGAUGUUAAUUUUUUAAUGACUCAUUCGGCGCCUUAC